GAUGAAGAACGUAGCAAAAUGCGAUAAGUAAUGUGAAUUGCAGAAUUCAGUGAAUCAUCGAAUCUUUGAACGCACAUUGCGCCCCCUGGUAUUCCGGGGGGCAUGCCUGUUCGAGCGUCAUUUCACCACUCAAGCCUCGCUUGGUAUUGGGCAACGCGGUCCGCCGCGUGCCUCAAAUCGACCGGCUGGGUCUUCUGUCCCCUAAGCGUUGUGGAAACUUUCGCUAAAGGGUGUUCGGGAGGCUACGCCGUAAAACAACCCCAUUUCUAAGGUUGACCUCGGAUCAGGUAGGGAUACCCGCUGAACUUAAGCAUAUCAAUAAGCGGAGGA
rnacentral:misc_RNA from 1 species